rnacentral:lncRNA from 12 species
AUGGCGAGAGCAGCCCAUGGUCCCCCUGGCAUCGCUACUGCCCGUGCUUGCUUCCUCGCUUUCUUUUUCCCUCCUUUACUCAUUAGCUGUGCUUUUAUUGCUCUUUUUAAUGGGCUCUGUCAUUGUUUGUCAGUAAGAGCCACUGUGGGAUCGGCGAGCGUGUGGAUUAUUUCCUUACAGGGGAGUGGGUCUCACCAAGCACUUGAACGUGACACCAGCACUUUGUGUUUCAGCAAUAUGGAGCUCUGGGCCAGUAGAGGGGGACAGUACUACUUUUGUUGGACCUCCUUUGUGCUGCACAACAGCUCGUAUCGUGUGCUGCUUGUGGGGAAAUCUCUCGCACCGGUUGGUCUGCUCACUGACUGCAGGCGCUGUGCUGUGUGUAGUAUCAGGACACAAGCAUUGCUUUCCUGCUGCAUAAAAGUGCAGGUGUGUUUUUCACCCUAGUCUUUUGUGUCUCUAUGGGUGGCUG